rnacentral:lncRNA from 1 species
GUAAGAAAGUAAGUACAGUUGCUAACUGUGAUGGCUGACAGAAGAAGUAAUUGCUGUGUGUGUUUUUCUCAUCUAGCUUGAUCACUGCUUGUAGUAAGUUACCACUUCUCCAUUAUAAGCUUCAAAAGGAAAAGGAAAAGUAACGGUCAUCCCAAGGCAUUUCAGUGACUGGCAUUUGCCCAACUGCAUAUACAGUAAGAAAUAGAUGUGUGUAUCAAAAUACAAUCAUCAGCUUCUACCCUGGACAGUACAGACUCAGUGUUACUGCCAGAACGUGUCUGCCACAGGAAUUGUACAAUUUUGUUCAGCCUCCUUUAAGAGCCACUGUCAGGGAUCAAGGUGAUACUGCUAAUAUUAGCUAAUCUUUUCCUCCUUAUUACUCUUAAUGCAGAUUUAAAACAAACACAAAAAAUCUAGGUAGUCACAUGAGCAUAUAAAGCCAAUCAACUGCUUACAGGAAUUAAAACAUCACACCUCCUUCCAUGACAAGAAUAUACUGUAACAGUGACAGGUUCUUUUUGCAUUAAAAAUAUCCCUGUUAAUCAAAACAAAGUUGUUCUCAAAUGUAACGGCAAACAAGAAUUUCAUACUUACCUGUAGGCCAAUUACACUUUGACCAGCUUUUAGUUUUCCUGCAUCAAAACUUCGUGCUUGUUUCUCAGCAUAUUUGACACCAAUAUCAAUUGUAGUAUGAAAACCUUUGGUUUUUGCCAGACCUGCUAGUGCCACGAGAGUAGUCUGUACUUGAGUCAUAUUUCCAUUUUCAAAAAGAUCAUUGGCUUCAAAAAUAUCGUGUGGCUUCAUGCCAUAGACUUGGAUCGCUUUGAUAAAAUUCCCAAUGUUCUCCAGCUGGUGCCAAUUUAGUUUUGAUUGAUUAAUUUUCUUCACUGAUCCUGGCUGCAGCUUAUUUAUAAGCUCGCAUAAGAUGAUGCCAUCUUUUAGCCCCAGCUGAAAGUUUGCACCAAUGCUCAAGCCUGUAACCUCUUCUAUCCAGUUACGAAGGUCUUCUUCUAUCUGGGGAUCAUACUUCAGGGCAAUCUUGUUCUUGACCUCGGCGGAGAGCCCGUAAGAGGGCCCCUUGUUGAAGUGGGUCAUGUCCGCGGUCUCCCCGCUGCCUGGGGGCGCUGGCGGCGGGCGCUCACUGCGGCGGGCUGAGGCGAGAGUCCGCCCGCGGCCGCGGAAAGUUCUAGUCCCUCCCUCGCGGCCCGGCCCCGCGGCCGUUGGGGCCGCCCGCGCGCCAAUCGCGGCGCGAGGUGAGGGAGCCCCUCCCGGGACGGCCGGGGAGGGGGCGCCGGGCCCGCCCCGCCACCGACGCGCCGCGGGCGGGCGCCGCUCGGGGGGAGCGGGCGGCGAGCGGAGGGGUCGGGAGACGUCAACGGGAAGGAAUCCGCCGCCACCGAGGGCCGCGGCGCGGCCGGUAAUGCCUACCACGUGUGGGCCGGGGUCUGCGGUGCGGCCCGGCCGCCGAAGCGGGGCCGCUCCCGGUUAGGGGAAGCGGAGCUCCCCGAGGGGAAAGGAAAAGGACGGCGUGAGGAAAACGGCGGCUCGCGGACGCGCCGCGAAAGUCGAUCGGCGUUUGGGCGCUGCCGGGACCGCGCCGUCCUCGCGGCCCCGAGCAGCGCGUGAGCGAGGGCCCCGAGCCCUGCGGCCGGCGGGCACGGCGCCGUGGGCUGCAGCUGGAGCCGGGCUGCGGCUCGGGAGCUUCCAGGCAUCUACCGACGGCGUACCGCACCCCAGAAAUUACACGUUUCGUCCAUUCCGAAAUAAAGUGGUCCCGAUUAGCAGCAGACAGAAGUACGGGGUAGUAUUUUCCCGUCGGGCGAUCAGAUUUAAAUUACGCUCAAAUAAAUCACUCGGAGUUUUUACUUUUACCUCAUCUGAUCGGGGCACGACUGCCGUUUGGUGCCGUUCUUCUGACACCCGCGGGCCGCCAGGAGAGCUCCCAGCCUUUGGGUGACCGCUGCCGUACCAGCAGUGGGCUCAAACCCCGCGGGAGGAACAAAAAGGGAAACCUUUGAGCGCGGUUAGAAGCGCGUUCUGCACGGCAUCCCUCUGACAACACAAAGCCGACGGCAGCGCUCGGCGCGGGACAAAGCAGCUGGGGCGUGCGGGGCAAUCUGGCUCAUUAUGUGUAAAUCUCUUAUCUUUGCCCUAUUUUCCACAUUAUUACCGGGGCUGUUUGUAUGGGAAGAGGAUUUGUACAAGAAUUAUUCCCCACCUGAAAUCAUAAUCCUCUUUGUGACAUUGUAAUAACUUCUUCAGCAACCACAUGUGAUAAUCAUAAAUGUGUGCUGAUGACUUCAGCUGGAAACCGGCAGAAACGAGCCACAAGGAGACACAAUCUGUUUUCUUGGAAACAUGGACUAUAAUCUUGCAAACAUUCUUGCACAUGAGUUAUUGUAAGCAUAUGUGUAGUCCUAUUAAACUUCCCAAGCCUAAAUUAUCCCUUGUGUAAUUCCACCAUAAUCUAUAGAAUUAAUGUGGCUCAAUGGAAAACCAUCAAAUACACAUUUCUAUUCGCACUCGGCUCAGUGGCAGAGGCCAUGUCAUGGGGCAACUCUGCAGCUGGGCCUGGCCAGGGAGGGAUCUUCUCUUCCCUACCAUUUGAUCCCAAUGAAGUGCCUGGGUUUAAUUAUCAGGCUCAGCUGGGGAGGAGCUGGAUGGUUUCUCUGAAGGAUGGAGGUUGCUGGGUAGAGCCACGCAUCAUGUAAGAAGUUUGUUUGCCAGAAUGGCUCUGCAGGGUGAUGUGUGAAGAGGGAUCUUCUGGUGGAUUUCAUCCCGGGGAGAGCAGAGCCCUUUGCUGGGAGCAGGUGCUGCCAGCCUUAGGGCUGGGGGAGUAAGUCCACAGGGAGUGAGCACAGUUCUACCUGGAGAUAGGGUGGUGCCUGGGUGGGAGUGACCCUGCUUGGGAGCUGCAUGGCUUGGGAGUGCUGCGGCAGGGGUUGUGCCCCUUGGUGAGGGCAGUGGAGGGCUGUGCUGCUGUACGAUGACUGAUGGAGCUUGCUGGCCUGCAGGUCAGAUUGUGAGCUGGCUAAAGAAUGUGUUUUCCAGUAACUCGGUGCUUAGAGAAAGGGAAGAAACUCUUUAAGCUUUCUGAGUCACAACUGUUCCUCUUUGAGCGUUGAGGGGAAAAAAAUACUGAGUGUUGACCUGGUGAGGCAAAGGACAAGGCUUUGCUCCUGCUUCCCUCUGAUGUGCUUAACUGAAAGGAAAGGUGCUAAGACCAACUGCAGUCCCCCUGAACUUGGUGGUGACUCUCCUGGGCUGUCCUGUCCCCUGUCAGUCCUGGUACUGUCAAAUGGCCUCUUCCAUGGUGUUGGAGACACAGCUGCUUGCUGAAAUUUUAGCCUGAUUAACUGAGGCGGGGGAUUCAAGUUAUUAAAAGUACUGCAGGAUAGAUACAACUAGUGACUGCAGCAAGGCUCACAUCUCCCUGCUGGUCGAUUCCAGUUCACAACAGCAUGCAGUAGCAAGCAUUAAAAACUGUCCAGUAAGAACUCUACAGAACACGUAGUGGUGAACUCUAUCAGUACCCAGAACUGUCCUUGACCUUUCAUUUACCAGGAUUCCUUUUGAAAACAAUCAGUGGUAAGUAAUAUAACAUCUGCUGACCUCAAAGAUCUAUUUAAAACAGUGUUGUAUUCAUACAGCUAAUUGUAACUACUUUGGAAGAUCUCAAGGGGCAUGCAGUCCUGACCUGUGUGCUGUAAUGAAGCACGGCACGCUGUACGUAUGCCUGUGUGUCUGUUUUAACAUGCUGUUCUCGUUCCACAUGGGACUCUCUUGCCUUGCAGAACAAUUACGGAUGCUAUGAGGUGUUUGUAGCCUGCUCCUCUUUCCUCUUGAGCAAACUGUGGAAGGCAACAUUUUCUUGGCAGUCAUUAACUCUCCUAAGAGGCUGGCAUUUACAACUGUUUCAAAAUCAACAGCAAGCAAAAUUUGCUCCCUUCUUGCACGUCCUACAAACUGAAACAUGGGGCAAGAUCCAGCCUUGACGGAAUUAUCUGACAUCUAUGUUCUGUGUCUUGCCUACACUUUUUGAGUAAAUUCCCUUAUAUGGAGAUGUCUUCAGUGAUGCAUGCAAUGACAAAAUGUUCUGAGAAUUGCGAAGGCCCAAACCUAAAAUACCACAUUAGAAAAAAGAAAUAUAAACCAAGACUUCCCUUGAGAGGGAGUGGUGGUGAAAAUCCCUGUCUUGGGAAGGGAUUUUAACCAUGGCUUCUGGAAGUUGUAAGUCUGUAACCCUGAGUCUUCUUGUUGGGAAAGAUUCUCCUCUGUAUUUAACUUUUUACAAUGUAAAUGUUAUCCACGUUCACAAGGAAGUAACUUCCUGAAGUGAAAGACUUAUACACGUUUGUACCUGUAGAGAUUCAGCUUUAUUUAAGAAGGUAUUCAGUUUUAACAUCUAACUGGUUGUUAAUUCACUGCUUUUUUCAUCGAGUCUAAUGCUGAAAUCCUUUUCUG